GCUAGCGGGGCUCGGCGGAGGGCGAGCUUGGCCUCGGAAGGGGCAGGAAUAGCAUCCGUGGGCGAGAACUGCAGGAGGAUCCCAGGGGGUCAACGCGGAUCCUUCCCCGCACCGUUAGCCUAACAGCCCCGUGGGCUCCGUGCGGAUGAGCACAUAGGAGCUGGGUUCACCCUGCGAACAGACUGACCCUGGCUAGAAGUCAGGAGGGACACUGGGGCCAUGGUGGAGCCACUGGAAGCCAGAAGAGGGAGCUGGAUCUGCUGGAACUGGAGUACAGACAUUGUGAGCCUCCAAGUGGAUCCUUUGGAAGAGCAAUACACCUCCUAACUGCUAAGCUGACUGUCCAGUCGUGUGUACUCACCACCCCCCCUCCACCACCACUCCUGUCUUAGAUCAAAGGAACUGAGCCCCACAUGCUACAUAACAACAUCUCUGGAACCCUGGCAGCAACUUGAUGUAGAGCAUCAUCGGGUGCCGUGAAGGCUGUGAGCUUGCAUCCCUGAGUAAGUGGUGGCACCUAACGGUCAACAGACAAACAGAUGUUCCAGCUGCCCGGUCUCCCAGGAAACCCGAUUCUCUGGUGAUCCUGAGAUUCCUUUUAUCUUUUUAAUGAAAUAUUUUCCUUACUACUGCCAAAAUUGGGUUUUGAUGUUUACAACUAAAAAUUCAGACUCACAUAAUUUAUAUUAAAACACUGAAGCUGUUACCUAGGACUGUGAACUCCAGAUUCUAGUGUUCUUUCCAUACUCAUUUCUCCAUGUUCCAACAAUCCACAAUAUUUACAUUAUGUAUUGAUGGCUCUGUAUCAGUUUCUUAACUGAAUUUUUAUGGAAGCUGAAAAUAAACAUUUUGAGUGGCUGCAUGGGGAGGCGGCUUUCAGUAGAACAUCCAGUUUCAAAGGCAGAAACAUGCAUCUGCUCUGUGAUUUGCUUCUUUCUCUGUGUGUGUGUGGUAUUUGUGCAUGUUUGUUUGUGCCUGUGUGUGCAUGUGUAUGGGGCAGGGUGGAGGUCACCAUUGCGCAUCUUUCUC